GAGUUUGAUCCUGGCUCAGGAUGAACGCUAGCGGCAGGCUUAACACACGCAAGUCGAGGGGUAACAGGGAUUGCUUGCAAUCCGCUGACGACCGGCGCACGGGUGCGUAACGCGUAUGCAACCUACCUUCUACAGGGGGAUAGUCAAUAGAAAUGUUGAAUAAUACCCCAUACGAUCUUUGAAUAGCAUUAUUUAAAGAAGAAAGUUCCGGCGGUAGAAGAUGGGCAUGCGUCCUAUUAGUUAGUUGGAGAGGUAACGGCUCCCCAAGACAUCGAUAGGUAGGGGUCCUGAGAGGGAGACCCCCCACACUGGUACUGAGACACGGACCAGACUCCUACGGGAGGCAGCAGUGAGGAAUAUUGGACAAUGGAGGCAACUCUGAUCCAGCCAUGCCGCGUGCAGGAAGACUGCCCUAUGGGUUGCAAACUGCUUUUAUACAGGAAGAAAUGUACCUACGUGUAGGUAUUUGACGGUACUGUACGAAUAAGGAUCGGCUAACUCCGUGCCAGCAGCCGCGGUAAUAAGGGCGA
rnacentral:rRNA from 1 species